rnacentral:sRNA from 1 species
UCCUCCACCAGCUGCGGGCAGAUGAAGUGGAUGUGGGCAUCGAGGCCACCGGCCGUGAGGAUCUUGCCCUCCCCCGCGAUCACCUCGGUGCCGGGGCCGAUGACGAUCGUGACGUCCGGCUGGGUAUCCGGGUUGCCGGCCUUGCCGAUGGCGGCGAUGCGACCCGCCUUGAGGCCCACGUCGGCCUUGACGAUGCCCCACCAGUCGAGGAUCAGCGCGUUGGUGAUCACGGUGUCCAUGACCGUGUCGUCGUGACGCUGGCUCUGCCCCAUGCCGUCGCGGA